GACGAACGCUGGCGGCGUGCCUAACACAUGCAAGUCGAACGGAGAUAUGAUUUCGGUUGUAUCUUAGUGGCGAACGGGUGAGUAGCGCGUGAGCAACCUGACUCUUAGAGGGGGAUAACACUCGGAAACGGGUGCUAAUACCGCAUAAGACCACGACAUGGCAUCAUGACGAGGUCAAAGGAGCAAUCCGCUGAGAGAGGGGCUCGCGUCCCAUUAGAUAGAUGGCGGGGUAACGGCCCACCAUGUCAACGAUGGGUAGCCGAGCUGAGAGGCUGAUCGGCCACACUGGAACUGAGACACGGUCCAGACUCCUACGGGAGGCAGCAGUGGGGAAUAUUGGGCAAUGGGCGCAAGCCUGACCCAGCAACGCCGCGUGAGGGAAGAAGGCUUUCGGGUUGUAAACCUCUGUCCUUGGUGACGAAAAAAAUGACGGUAGCCAAGGAGGAAGCCCCGGCUAACUACGUGCCAGCCGCCGCGGUAAUAC
rnacentral:rRNA from 1 species